rnacentral:rRNA from 1 species
GACGAACGCUGGCGGCGUGCUUAACACAUGCAAGUCGAACGGUAAGGCCCUUCGGGGUACACGAGUGGCGAACGGGUGAGUAACACGUGGGUGAUCUGCCCUGCACUUCGGGAUAAGCCUGGGAAACUGGGUCUAAUACCGGAUAGGACUCCGGACUGCAUGGUCUGGGGUGGAAAGCUUUUGCGGUGUGGGAUGGGCCCGCGGCCUAUCAGCUUGUUGGUGGGGUGAUGGCCUACCAAGGCGACGACGGGUAGCCGGCCCGAGAGGGUGACCGGCCACACUGGGACUGAGAUACGGCCCAGACUCCUACGGGAGGCAGCAGUGGGGAAUAUUGCACAAUGGGCGCAAGCCUGAUGCAGCGACGCCGCGUGAGGGAUGACGGCCUUCGGGUCGUAAACCUCUUUCAGCAUCGACGAAGCGAAAGUGACGGUAGGUGCAGAAGAAGGACCGGCCAACUACGUGCCAGCCGCCGCUGUAA